UUUUUUUUUUUUUUGGGUUUUUGGCUUUCUGUUGUUGUAGUCUGCCUGUUUUUCUCUUUAGUUGCGUAAGUUGUCAUAAGUUCUCUUACUUGUUUUAGGGUGGGAGUUGGUUUUUGGUAUUGGUUAUCGCAUAGCGGGUAAGAUAAGGGAAGGGGCCUAGGAUUGCAUGGGCGAGCAUGAGAGGCUAUUGCCAAACGGCCUAUUGCCUAACGAAGCGGCCUCUCUGAUCCGAGUGCUUGACUCGGAGCGAUGGUUAAAGGCCGAAGAGAGAACUGCAGAGCUCAUUGUCUGCAUUCAGCCCAACGAGCUCUCGGAAGAGCGCAGAAAUGCUGUAGCCGAUUAUGUGCAGCGGCUUAUCAUGAAGUGCUUUCCCUGCCAGGUGUUCACUUUUGGGUCUGUACCUCUUAAGACUUAUUUGCCUGAUGGAGACAUCGACUUAACAGCUUUCAGUAAGAAUCAAAAUAUGAAAGAUUCAUGGGCUCAUCAGGUUCAUGAAAUGCUGGAGAAUGAGGAGAAGAAUGAGAAUGCUGAAUUCCGUGUGAAAGAAGUUCAGUACAUUCAGGCAGAGGUAGGUCCCUUUUGUUACUCAUUACAUUUUUGUUAUUGUUAAAGGCUGUCUGGUCAUCUCCCUUGCUUCACUAUCCCUUUUUUAUUUUUGUUUAAUUUUUUAAUUAUUGCCAAUGUUUUCAAAGGCAAGGCAGGUGCUUGACUUGGUGGUGUCCAGGUAAGUUGAGGUGCUGGCAAAGCACCUUGUUUAGGUCUUGGUGAGGCAACUUCAUCUAGGUAUUGCAUAGUACCUGAGCUAAGGCAUUAGAUGCCCAAGCACUUGAGGUGCUUGGCUCAUUCACUUGAUCCUCUUUUUAAUUUUUCUUUUCUCCCACUUAUUACAUUCCCUUCUAAAUGAUGGACUUGAGAGUCAAAUAUGGCAAAGCAUGAGAUCGCAAUUAUAAAAUGCGAGAGGAAUGAGUUAUCCCUUUCCUUAGCUUCUAUUAGGGCACAUGUAUCUCUUCUACGAGCAUAAGUAGAAAAAAAGGAGACAAAGAAUAUUGGAGUAAAAUAAUUAUUUUUUUUAAUCAGUGCCUUGCUUUGCUUGAGCCGGCGCCUGUUUCAUUGGGUGACAAAGGGUACCAUUUUGAUUUUGAUACCUUCUAAUCUUGAAGUUCAUGGGGUGGCAUUAGCCCAUCUAAACGUUUUUGUCCAACUAUUCUAAUAGUGGACUUGUGAUCAAUGGAGUUGGUGAAUGUUUCAAAGUCUUAUGGUUGUAUAACCAUUCAUGUGACAUUGAGGCUUUUUAUAGUUUUAUACGUUAUCCUCUAGAGAAGAUAAUUAAGUGAUAUUCACUCUGGUGAUGAGAUCCCAAACUUGAAGUUAACUUUAAUGUGGAGGGAAGUGUAGAUUGUGAAGCAUAUAGGUAAAAGUGUUCAAAUUACUGAUUAUAAGAGAAUUAUAUGAGGAAAAGUAAUGGAACGUCAGAAUGUGCAAGUGCAUCAGCUUUUCCUUUGUGAGCCAUCAUCAUAUCUGAACUCUUUGAAAAAUGCUUAGAGAUGGCUCUGACAAUCAAUAUAUAAGAUAAAACCUGAUUCUCCUUCCAAUGCAAGUUUUUCAGUUGAUUAAUUUUAGAUAUGAUCUUAUCCUGUGGUUUGCUGGAACAUUCUGCUUGGAUUGGAUAUGAAUGAGUACGUUAAAGCUGAGGAUUGCUUACCAAGGUUUUUUUGACAACUGCAUUUUUUUAUGCUCUUUUCUCCACAUAGGUUAGUGGCAAAAAAUUGCAAGUUGACUCUUCGGAGAUUUAUGUGUUGGAUUGCCUUAAUUUUCAGCAUUUGGAUGAUACACAUAGGGCUAUGUGUAUUCUUGUUAGUUUGAUCACAGUGAGAUGGAGAUUAAUCACCAAGUGGGCCCACCAAUACCAUUAGCAAAACUUCCUCACCAUUCUGGGAUGACAUUUAGGCCGGUGCUAUGAAUGGCUCACAGAAUUCCGGCUAUAGCUUUUGAUGCUUAUCAUAUUACUGAUCUAGAAAACUUUUGGCCCAUUGUUUUUUUAUUUACUUGGUUCUUGAUGAGACAUUGAGCAUCUUUCUGGUUUGAGUAUACAUACAGGUGAAGAUAAUAAAAUGUCUUGUGGAAAAUAUUGUUGUAGACAUAUCUUUUAAUCAGCUUGGUGGGCUAUGCACCCUUUGUUUCCUUGAGGAGGUUGAUCAUUUGAUAAAUCAAAAUCAUUUAUUCAAGAAGAGUAUUAUAUUGAUAAAGGCAUGGUGUUAUUAUGAGAGUCGUAUUCUGGGGGCUCACCAUGGAUUGAUUUCCACUUAUGCUCUGGAAACCUUAGUUCUUUAUAUUUUUCAUGUUUUCAACAAUUCUUUUGCUGGACCGCUUGAGGUUCUCUACCGUUUUCUUGAGUUCUUCAACAAGUUUGACUGGGACAACUUUUGUGUUAGCCUUUGGGGGCCUGUGCCCAUCAGUUCACUUCCAGAUGUAGCAGCGGAACCUCCUCGAAAGGAUGGCGGAGAGUUAUUGCUAAGCAAAUUAUUUCUUGAGGCCUGCAGUGCAGUAUAUGCUGUUUUCCCUGGCGGCCAAGAAAAUCAAGGGCAACCUUUCAUGUCCAAACACUUCAAUGUUAUCGAUCCUUUGCGUAUGAACAACAACCUUGGACGUAGUGUUAGUAAAGGGAAUUUCUUUAGGAUACGUAGUGCAUUUGCAUUUGGGGCUAAAAAGCUGGCGAGGUUACUUGAUUGCCCAAAGGAGGACAUUUUUUUUGAAGUAAAUCAAUUCUUUAUGAACACCUGGGAUAGACAUGGUAGUGGCCAGCGUCCCGAUGCACCAAUAAAUGAUUUGUGGCGCUUGAGAUUGUCAACUCCUGACCUUUCACAUGGGUCUGAUAAUCUCAGGUACAAUUCAAAUAGCAGAACUUCUGGUUGUGAAGCUCAAGUUGAUGUGGCGCAUGGUUCACUUAGUGUUCCCUCUCAACAUGGUUAUUAUCCCUUGGAAAGCUCAUCCAGAAGUAGUGAAGUUUCUGUAUUUUCUUGUAGUCAUAGCCAAGAGACUUCUAUUAAUCCAAAUAACACAAACAACUCUGAUCAAGCUAGGAGGGAAAGUAGUUUUAAUCAGGGCUUGCAUGCUGAGAGACACCAGAAAAGUUCUAAACCGAAUAACUUGGUCAGUGACCUUCAGGGAAGGUAUCUUUUUGCAAGAACACGCUCUAGUCCUGAGCUUACUGAGACAUAUAGUGAAGUUUCUUUCCAUGGGAGGCAUAACAGAGCUCAAGAAGCUGGAAAAGGCCAGAGCUCUUCUGUAAGGUUAGAUAACAGCAGGAGGAAAAACCUGGAAUCAGAUAAUUUGGGAAGUCAUGGAAUUAGAUCUUCAAAUGAUGAUCCUUCAUCCACUGGACAGACCUCAUCUGGUGAAAGACUUGAUGUUGCUGGUGAUUCUAACAAUGCCUCAAAUAGUUACCAUGUAGAUUCAGUCCAAUGUGCUACUGGUGAAGAAUUUGCUUCUGUCAUUGGGGCACAGGGGAUGCAUCAGGAGGAGCAAGAUUUUGUUAACAUGAUGGCAUCUUCCACAGGUCUUGGUUUGAAUGGACAGGUUCAUCUUCCACUGAAUUUGGCUUCAAGUCACAUACCUCUUCCAGUCUCAUCUUCUGUUCUUGCUUCAAUGGGAUAUCUUCAGAGAAACUUGGGUGGAAUGGUACAUGCUAAUAUUCCCAUGAUGGAUAAUCCUUGGGGCACAAAUAUGCAAUUUCCUCAAGGCUUGGUUUCUUCGCCAUUAAAUCAUUAUUUUCAUGGCUUAGGAUUGAACUCAAGUACAGAAGAUUCAGUUGAACCUGUAAAUGAGAAUUUUAGUUCGAUGGAAAUGAACCUCAGUGAGGCUAAUCACAAUUUCUGGGAUGAGCCAGAAAGGGGCUCUGCCUGUAUUGACAAUGGAGGCUUUGAAAUACAUCAAUCAGAUGACAAGCAGCAUUCCACUUCAGCUAGCUAUAACUUUGUUCCUUCAUGCCGAUUAAGUGGCUCUGUUAGCUCUUUGAGAGUUCAACAGAACUUAACCGAAGAAGCCCAAGGGUCAAUGAAGGAAGAUCUCAUUGAUACUUCACCAUAUCAAGAGAACAGGGGUGCUGAAGUUUACUUCGAUGACAGAAUGGCAGGUUCAAGAUCCUUUCCUGCUGUGAAUACUAGUUGCCUGAGAAGUAAAACCUCUUCUGAGAGUUCAUGGGAAGGAUCACCUGCAAAGGCAUCAAAGCCAACAAGGGAAAAGAGAAAUAGGAAAACAGCUUCUUCAGUAGUGCCAUCUGCUGUUUUUGGGAAAGGUAAGAAUGUGUCUGAACAUUCAUCCAAUCAGGCAGAUGAUGAAAGCCAAGACCGGAAUCAGCUGUCCACAAUGUGCCUUGAAAUGACUGAAAAAAGCAUAGUACCUCCAUCUGCUGCUGCUACUGUGCAUGAUCCAAGGCAUCAAAUUCCUGGAUUUGAAACAGCACAGACAAGUGGAUCUGAGUCAUUUAUACCUAUUGCUCCGAUGCUUUUAGGUCCUGGUUCAAGGCAAAGAACUACAGAUAAUUCAGGGGUUGUUCCCUUUGCAUUUUAUCCUACAGGGCCACCUGUUCCUUUUGUUACAAUGCUUCCAGUGUACAACUUUCCUACUGAGACAGGAACUUCUGGUGCAUCAACAAGCCAAUUUAGUGUUGAGGAGGUUGUAGAUAACAGUGAUUCUGGUCAGAAUUUUGAUUCAUCUGAGCGACUUGAUCAAUCUGAGGUGUUAAGCACUUCUAACUCUAUGAGAAGGCCUGUUUUUGGAGAGCCAUUGGAGCAUAAAUCUGACAUUCUUAACAGUGAUUUUGCUAGCCACUGGCAAAACUUGCAAUAUGGACGGUUUUGCCAAAACUCACGGGAUCCCACACCUUUGGUUUAUCCUUCACCUCUGAUGAUGCCACCUGUAUAUUUACAAGGUCGUAUUCCAUGGGAUGUGCCCGGGAGACCUCUUUCAACCAACAUGAAUCUUUUCACGCAGCUUAUGAGUUAUGGGCCACGUCUUGUUCCUGUUGCUGCUCUUCAGUCUGUUUCUAAUAGACCUGCUGGUGUUUACCAGCAUUAUGUUGAUGAAAUGCCAAGAUUUCGUAGUGGGACUGGGACCUACCUGCCAAAUCCUGUAAGAUAGUUUUCAGGACCAAUAUUUUACUUAAAAGGAUUGGGGAUUUUUAUCAAUUUACUGUUUUGAUUUGGUGACCUUAAAUUUAAUGUCUCUUUGCUGAUUGAAGUUUUUGUUUUUGAUUUUGCUGAUCUCUUUAGAUUUUUUUUUUUUCACAAUUUAUUUUGAUUUAUUUUAGAAGGUAUCUGUUCGGGACCGUCAUUCUACAAAUAACAGAAGGGGAAAUUACAGUUAUGAUAGAAGUGACCACCAUGGUGAGAGGGAAGGGAACUGGAAUGUUAAUUCAAAGCCUCGAGCUUCUGGGCGCAGCCAAAGUCGCAGCCAAGCUGAGAAGUCAAGCUCAAGGUUGGAUCGGUUGGUGUCAAAUGAGAGCCGAACUGAUAGGACAUGGGGCUCUCAUAGGCAUGAUACAUUCCCUCCAUACCAGUCUCAGAAUGGUCCAAUCCGUUCAAACUCUUCACAGAGUGGUUCUGCCAAUUUGGCAUAUGGCAUGUAUCCACUACAGUCCAUGAAUCCUGGAGUUUCAACAAAUGGACCUACAUUUCCACCUGUUGUCAUGCUAUAUCCUUAUGAUCAUAGUGCUGGAUUUGGAUCUCCUGCAGAACAGCUUGAGUUUGGAUCUCUUGGGCCAGUGGGUUUCUCAGGUGUAAAUGAGGUAUCAUAUUUAAAUGAGGGAAGUCAAUCGAGUGGGGCAUUUGAGGACCAAAGGUUUCAUGGCAGCUCUGCCCAGCGGUCUUCACCAGAUCAGCCUUCUUCACCUCAUCUUCCGAGGUAGUCAUCAUUCUGUUAAGUACAAGGUUUCUGAAUUGCAGUGGGCCAGCCAAGUUGUUUGUGGAUAAGUGGCAGAGUUUUAGAAUCGUACUACUAAGAGGGGCAUUUGAUUUUAUUGCCAGAUCAGUGGCCCAAAGAAAUUAUCAGUUGAAGGAUGAGGAUUUCCUACCUCUGAUAUUUCUGAACCAAAAAGGAAAUGAUGAUGGGAGAAACUAUGAUGAGAUACCCUCCAGUUACCAGGCCUUCAUGAUCUCACCUCAUUCAUAAAAAGGGAUAACUCGAAGGAAUCAUCUGAUAGUCUCAUGGGAAGGUCACCCAUUCUUGCUAGCUCAUACUUGUUUGUACACUAAUCGAUCAUUUUCUAACCUGCCCUUGUUGCAUGGAUGUAUCAGAUCAGCGGUAAGGGAAGAAGCAGGACUCGGUGAUUAGGUAUUAAUUGUAGGACACAAACAUGUUGUAACCCCACUGACGUAGAAGCUCGUAGGUUUAGAAUCUAUAAUUUUACAAUGUUAUACGUUUAUUUUCUCGGGAUUUUGUUCCAAGCGGUGGGUGUAUUAGGGAUUUUGAUGCACAAGCUUGGUGUGAGCAUCUCUUAUGAACUGAUGCUUAAGAUCGAAAUUGUAGCAAUACCCCGGCCGAUGAUAGUUGAAAAAGAUUACUCUUUCAUAGCUGGAAAAAAAGGGCGACCUAGUGCUCUUUUUAUUAGCUGCUUAAUUAUAGGCUUAUGGUGAUAUUACUGUAACACUGAUCGUUGAUAAUUCUUACCACUAACGAAUGUGUAUCUCCUCUCUCCUUUAUAGGCCCCUGUUUUAGAAGCUAUGUUAGCUCGACAAAAUACGAGGCCUUCAAAUAAUUGGUAAGUUGGUAACCAUUGUAACACUUGCAUCAUGACUAUGUCGAUUAAUGAAGUUUAACGUUUUAUGCUUGGAACUAA
rnacentral:misc_RNA from 1 species